GGCUAGGACGAACGCUGGCGGCGUGCCUAACACAUGCAAGUCGAACGGAGAUAAACGCUGAUGAUUUAGCUUGCUAGAGAAUCUUGUUUAUCUUAGUGGCGGACGGGUGAGUAACGCGUGAGCAACCUGCCUUUCAGAGGGGGAUAACGUCUUGAAAAGGACGCUAAUACCGCAUGACAUUGCGAGAUCACAUGGUUUUGCAAUCAAAGGAGCAAUCCGCUGAAAGAUGGGCUCGCGUCCGAUUAGGUAGUUGGUGAGAUAACAGCCCACCAAGCCGACGAUCGGUAGCCGGACUGAGAGGUUGAUCGGCCACAUUGGGACUGAGACACGGCCCAGACUCCUACGGGAGGCAGCAGUGAGGGAUAUUGGUCAAUGGGGGAAACCCUGAACCAGCAACGCCGCGUGAGGGAUGACGGUCUUCGGAUUGUAAACCUCUGUCCUCUGUGAAGAUAAUGACGGUAGCAGAGGAGGAAGCUCCGGCUAACUACGUGCCAGCAGCCGCGGUAAUACGUAGGGAGCAAGCGUUGUCCGGAUUUACUGGGUGUAAAGGGUGCGUAGGCGGUUUUGCAAGUCAGGAGUGAAAUCCAUGGGCUUAACCCAUGAACUGCUUUUGAAACUGCAAGACUUGAGUGAAGUAGAGGUAGGCG
rnacentral:rRNA from 1 species